rnacentral:rRNA from 1 species
GACGUAGGAUGCGAGCGUUGUCCGGAUUUAUUGGGCGUGAAGAGUUCGUAGGCGGUUUGUUAAGUCUGGUGUUAAAGACCGAGGCCCAACCUCGGAAAUGCACUGGAUACUGGCAGACUGGAGUGCAGUAGAGGCGAGUGGAAUUCCCAGUGUAGCGGUGAAAUGCGUCGAUAUGUGGAGGAAUACCGAUGGCGAAGGCAGCCCCCUGGGAUAACACUGACGCUCAUGCACGAAAGCGUGGGGAGCAAACAGG